GACGAACGCUGGCGGCGUGCUUAACACAUGCAAGUCGAACGGUAAGGCCCUUCGGGGUACACGAGUGGCGAACGGGUGAGUAACACGUGGGUGAUCUGCCCUGCACUUCGGGAUAAGCCUGGGAAACUGGGUCUAAUACCGGAUAGGACCACUGCCUGCAUGGGUGGUGGUGGAAAGCUUUUGCGGUGUGGGAUGGGCCCGCGGCCUAUCAGAUAGUUGGUGGGGUGAUGGCCUACCAAGGAGACGACGGGUAGCCGGCCUGAGAGGGUGACCGGUCACACUGGGACUGAGAUACGGCCCAGACUCCUACGGGAGGCAGGAGUGGGGGAUAUUGCACAAUGGGCGCAAGCCUGAUGCAGUGACGCCGCGUGAGGGAUGACGGCCUUCGGGUUGUAAACCUCUUUCAGCACCGACGAAGCGCAAGUGACGGUAGGUGCAGAAGAAGGACCGGCCAACUACGUGCCAGCCGCCGCGGUAA
rnacentral:rRNA from 1 species